rnacentral:rRNA from 1 species
UACGGGGGGAGCAAGCGUUGUUCGGAUUUACUGGGCGUAAAGGGCUCGUAGGCGGCCAACUAAGUCGGACGUGAAAUCCCUCGGCUCAACCGAGGAACUGCGUCCGAUACUGAAAGGCUUGAAUCCGGGAGAGGGAUGUGGAAUUCCAGGUGUAGCGGUGAAAUGCGUAGAUAUCUGGAGGAACACCGGUGGCGAAGGCGGCAUCCUGGACCGGCAUUGACGCUGAGGCGCGAAAGCUAGGGGAGCAAACGGG